rnacentral:rRNA from 1 species
UACGUAGGGAAGCAAGCGUUGUCCGGAAUCACUGGGCGUAAAGCGCGUGUAGGCGGAUGGGCAAGUCUGCUGUGAAAGCGCCUGGCUUAACCGGGCGAGGUCGGUGGAAACUGCUCGUCUUGAGGUCGGUAGAGGCAGAUGGAAUUCCCGGUGUAGUGGUGAAAUGCGUAGAGAUCGGGAGGAACACCUGAGGCGAAGGCGGUCUGCUGGGCCGCACCUGACGCUGAGACGCGAAGGCGCGGGGAGCGAACGGG